UCUGAUCUGAUCUGAUCCCGUGCCGAUCGGGUGUCCGCACUAAGUUCGGCAUCAAUAUGGUGACCUCCCGGGAGCGGGGGGCCACCAGGUUGCCUAAGGAGGGGUGAACCGGCCCAGGUCGGAAAUGGAGCAGGAAGGGGCCAGUGUGGCCGAGCCUGGCUUGCUGACCUGCCCAGAGGGCAGGAGACCAGGCCAG
rnacentral:sRNA from 1 species